GUCCGCUGCCACUCCUGGGGCUCUCUGUGCCAGGUCCUGGGCUGAGUGUGCUCCGUGCAUGAUUGCUUUGAAUUUCUGUAACCUUGUGAUGUGGGGAUUCUUAGCAGCAUGCCACAGAGUGGAAGCCAAGGUCCUGAGAGGCAAGGCCACCUGCCUAAGGUGCUGGGCUUAUAUGAGCCCAGCCCUGGACUCCUCCCUGUACCAUGAGUCACCUCCUGGCCCUCCCCUCCUCACAGCUUCCUACCAAGGACCCCAGAGGAUGGAGGCCUCUCGGUGGUGGCUGCUGGUCACUGUGCUCAUGGCUGGGGCUCAUUGUGUGGCCCUGGUUGACCAAGAAGCUUCUGAUCUCAUCCAUUCUGGCCCCCAGGACAGCAGCCCUGGGCCUGCCCUGCCCUGCCACAAAAUCUCUGUGAGCAACAUAGACUUUGCCUUCAAGCUCUACAGACAGUUGGCUUUGAACGCCCCCGGGGAGAACAUUCUCUUCUCCCCAGUGAGCAUCUCCCUGGCCUUGGCCAUGCUUUCUUGGGGGGCCCCAGUGGCCAGCAGGACCCAACUCCUGGAGGGCCUGGGGUUCACCCUCACCGUGGUGCCUGAGGAGGAGAUCCAGGAAGGCUUCUGGGAUCUGCUGAUCAGGCUCCGUGGGCAGGGUCCCCGGCUCCUCCUGACCAUGGACCAGCGCAGGUUCAGCGGCCUGGGCGCGAGGGCCAACCAGAGCCUAGAGGAGGCCCAAAAACACAUUGACGAAUAUACAGAGCAGCAGACCCAGGGGAAGCUCGGGGCCUGGGAGAAGGACCUCGGCAGUGAAACCACAGCGGUUCUGGUGAAUCACAUGCUCCUCAGAGCUGAGUGGAUGAAGCCCUUUGACUCACGUGCCACCAGCCCAAAGGAGUUCUUUGUAGAUGAGCACAGCGCUGUGUGGGUGCCCAUGAUGAAGGAGAAGGCCAGCCACCGCUUCCUGCACGACCGUGAGCUGCAAUGCUCUGUGCUGCGGAUGGACCACGCUGGGAACACCACCACCUUCUUCAUCUUCCCCAACAGGGGCAAGAUGAGGCAGCUGGAAGAUGCCCUGCUGCCUGAAACACUGAUUAAGUGGGACAGUCUGCUCAGGACCAGAGAACUCGAUUUCCACUUCCCCAAAUUUUCCAUUUCUAGAACCUGCAGACUGGAGAUGCUCCUCCCAUGAGUGACUGUGGGUGGAGGCUUCCCUGGGCAGCCUGGACUGAACAUUUCUAAAGUCACUCAUAAGGCCAUGAUGACGCUGGAUGAGAGGGGCUCUGAAGCUGCUGCAGCCACCAGCAUUCAGCUCACCCCUGGGCCUCGCCCAGACCUUGACUUCCCACCCACUCUGGGCACUGAGUUCAGUCGGCCCUUCCUGGUGAUGACUUUCCACACGGAAACAGGAAGCAUGCUUUUUCUGGAGAAGAUUGUAAACCCACUGGGAUAACGCCCCCUCAGACAUGCUGGGUGACUCAGAGAGAACAGAAUGGCCUACACAGCAGGGAGCUUCUAUUACAGCCUCAAGUUUAAGGAAAAGUUGCAUAUACCUGAGUUCUUUUGCUUGGUUUCCACAGGAACCAAGUGGGUAAGGAUAGUAAUGGUGAUCAAGGCUGUUCUCCCUGCACACAGGCAGUAAUUACCAUUGAGCAAACACCUACUAUGUACCAAAUGCUUUCUAUCUCUUAUCUCAUUUUAAAAUGAAUUACAACAACAAUCCAACA
ensembl:lncRNA SERPINA13P serpin family A member 13, pseudogene